rnacentral:rRNA from 1 species
GACGAACGCUGGCGGCGUGCCUAAUACAUGCAAGUUGAGCGCUGAAGGUUGGUACUUGUACCAACUGGAUGAGCAGCGAGCGGGUGAGUAACGCGUGGGGAAUCUGCCUUUGAGCGGGGGACAACAUUUGGAAACGAAUGCUAAUACCGCAUAAAAACUUUAAACACAAGUUUUAAGUUUGAAAGAUGCAAUUGCAUCACUCAAAGAUGAUCCCGCGUUGUAUUAGCUAGUUGGUGAGGUAAAGGCUCACCAAGGCGAUGAUACAUGGCCGACCUGAGAGGGUGAUCGGCCACAUUGGGACUGAGACACGGCCCAAACUCCUACGGGAGGCAGCAGUAGGGAAUCUUCGGCAAUGGACGAAAGUCUGACCGAGCAACGCCGCGUGAGUGAAGAAGGUUUUCGGAUCGUAAAACUCUGUUGGUAGAGAAGAACGUUGGUGAGAGUGGAAAGCUCAUCAAGUGACGGUAACUACCCAGAAAGGGACGGCUAACUACGUG